CGGAUUAGAUACCCUGGUAGUCCACGCCCUAAACGAUGCAUAUUUGGUGUGGGCAGUUCAUUCUGUCCGUGCCGGAGCUAACGCGUUAAAUAUGCCGCCUGGGGAGUACAGUCGCAAGGCUGAAACUCAAAGGAAUUGACGGGGGCCCGCACAAGCGGUGGAGCAUGUGGUUCAAUUCGACGCAACGCGAAGAACCUUACCUGGGCUCGAACGGCUGGUUAACGGAGGUGGAAACAUCUUUACCCCGCAAGGGGAUCCAGUCGAGGUGCUGCAUGGCUGUCGUCAGCUCGUGUCGUGAGAUGUUGGGUUAAGUCCCGCAACGAGCGCAACCCUUGUCCUGUGUUGCCAUCAUUUAGUUGGGAACUCGCAGGAGACCGCCAGCGAUAAGCUGGAGGAAGGUGGGGAUGACGUCAAGUCCUCAUGGCCUUUAUGUCCAGGGCUACACACGUGCUACAAUGGACGGUACAAAGCGCAGCUAACCCGCGAGGGGGAGCCAAUCGCAGAAAACCGUUCUCAGUUCGGAUUGCAGGCUGCAACUCGCCUGCAUGAAGCUGGAAUCGCUAGUAAUGGCAGAUCAGCAUGCUGCCGUGAAUACGUUCCCGGGCCUUGUACACACCGCCCGUCACAUCACGAAAGUGGAUUGUACUAGAAGUCUGCACGCUGACCCGCAAGGGGAGCAGCGGCCCAAGGUAUGAUUCAUGAUUGGGGUGAAGUCGUAACAAG
rnacentral:rRNA from 1 species